CUACGUAGGUGACAAGCGUUAUCCGGAUUUACUGGGCGUAAAGGGCGUGUAGGCGGUCUUGCAAGUCAGAAGUGAAAUUCCUGAGCUCAACUCGGGCGCUGCUUCUGAAACUGCAGGACUUGAGUGCUGGAGGGGAUAGCGGAAUUCCUAGUGGAGCGGUAAAAUGCGCAGAUAUUAGGAAGAACACCGGUGGCGAAGGCGGCUAACUGGACAGUAACUGACGCUGAGGCGCGAAAGCGUGGGGAGCAAACAGGAUUAGAUACCCUGGUAGUCCACGCUGUAAACGAUGAAUACUAGGUGUGGGGGGACUGACCCCCUCCGUGCCGCAGUUAACACAAUAAGUAUUCCACCUGGGGAGUACGAUCGCAAGAUUGAAACUCAAAUGAAUUGACGGGG
rnacentral:rRNA from 1 species